GCAAGUCGAGGGGUAACAUAAUUUGCUUGCAAAUUGAUGACGACCGGCGCACGGGUGCGUAACGCGUAUACAAUCUACCUUUUGCUGAGGGAUAGCCCAGAGAAAUUUGGAUUAACACUUCAUGGUAUUUAGAUAUGGCAUCAUAUUUAAAUUAAAGGAUACGGCAAAAGAUGAGUAUGCGUUCUAUUAGCUAGAUGGUAAGGUAACGGCUUACCAUGGCUACGAUAGAUAGGGGCCCUGACAGGGGGAUC
rnacentral:rRNA from 1 species